ensembl:lncRNA
GUUGCAUGGAGGGAAGACACAGAGGGGUGAUGCUGCAAUGCAGAGUCAAGUCAGAGCAGCAGAGCUGUAGAGAAAAGAAUAGGCGUGCUACUUGUGAGCAUCACAUCGUCUCUUCAGAGACAUUAGGGAAAGGAAAGACCACGGUGAGUCCUGGACUGUGCUUGAGCUGGGCUGUUCCUGAGAUGGAGAGGCUUGCACUGAAGAGGCCUGAAUGGAGCAGAGACACCUACCUUGCCUGAGCCUUGGGUGUGUUCAGCUUCCAGAAGGGACAAAGCUCGGCCUGGCGCGUUCCUAACGGGAAUUGGCUCUAGAAGUUCCGGACUUUGUGCUUCUCACUGCUGUGCAGUAUUCCACUGUCACCCCCAAAGCCUCAUGCACUCUGAGGUGAGGCUUGUGGAAGGUGGUUGGAUUGAGAGGACACUACAGCUGACUUAGUGUUAGGAGAUGGGCCCUGAUCAGAAGAGGAGUCAUUGUGAGUAUGACCUGGAAGUGUGUACCCCCCACCCCCCGCUCCUCCCUUCUCUCUGCUUCCUGGCCACUAUGAGGUGAACAGCUUGUCCUCUACCAUGUCUCUCCGUCACGCUGUCCUGCCUUGGAGCCAGCUUACUAUGCACUGAAAUGUGAGCCAAAAUAAAGUUCUCUCCUUUUAAGUUGUAAGCAUCAGGUACUGUGUCGCAGCAAUGAGAAAGUGACUAUGACAAACAUAUGGACCAUUCUUAAAUUUGCUUGUUAUGAACCAAAUGCCUAUCUUGUGGUGAACAAAAGCACCCAUUUCUUUUGGACAUGUAUACCCAGCAGUAGACACCAUUAAACAAGGUAUAUGUAUGCCUAGUCUUAGUGGUGCUUCCAAAGCAGUUAUCUAUUGUACACUCCUACUAGCAUUUCUUAAUUGGAGUGUCUGUCUCUUGCUUAUUGAUUUGUAUAAUUUCUUACAUAUUUUAAAAAUUAUGGUCCUUUUUCUAAUAGAUGAGUUAUAAUUCUCUUGUCUCAGUCCAUAGUUUGUUUCUCUCAUAGUGUCUUUU